UUGACCUCGGAUCAGGUAGGGAUACCCGCUGAACUUAAGCAUAUCAAUAAGCGGAGGAAAAGAAACCAACAGGGAUUGCCUCAGUAACGGCGAGUGAAGCGGCAAGAGCUCAAAUUUGAAAUCUGGCCCCUCCGGGGUCCGAGUUGUAAUUUGUAGAGGAUGCUUCGGGUGCGGCCCCCGUCUAAGUGCUCUGGAACGGGCCAUCGGAGAGGGUGAGAAUCCCGUCUGGGACGGGGUGUCCGCGUCCAUGUGAAGCUCCUUCGACGAGUCGAGUUGUUUGGGAAUGCAGCUCUAAAUGGGUGGUAAAUUUCAUCUAAAGCUAAAUACUGGCCGGAGACCGAUAGCGCACAAGUAGAGUGAUCGAAAGAUGAAAAGCACUUUGAAAAGAGAGUUAAACAGCACGUGAAAUUGUUGAAAGGGAAGCGCUUGCGACCAGACUCGCUUCCGGGGUUCAGCCGGCUUUCGGGCCGGUGUACUUCCCCGGGGGCGGGCCAGCGUCGGUUUGGGCGGCCGGUCAAAGGCCCCUGGAAUGUAACGCCCCUCGGGGCGCCUUAUAGCCAGGGGUGUCAUGCGGCCAGCCUGGACCGAGGAACGCGCU
rnacentral:rRNA from 1 species